rnacentral:rRNA from 1 species
UACGUAGGGACCGAGCGUUGUCCGGAAUCAUUGGGCGUAAAGAGCGUGUAGGCGGCCACUUAAGUCCUGCGUGAAAUCUUGCGGCUCAACCGCAAGCGGUCGUGGGAAACUGGGUGGCUAGAGUGCGGGAGAGGAGAGUGGAAUUCCUGGUGUAGCGGUGGAAUGCGCAGAUAUCAGGAAGAACACCGAUGGCGAAGGCAGGUCUCUGGGCUGACACUGACGCUCAUGCACGAAAGCGUGGGGAGCAAACAGG